rnacentral:lncRNA from 1 species
AAAAGGAAGGGUAACACUGCCUAUGGUAUUUGCAGAUUUUUGGCUAAAUAUGAAGAAAUUAAAAAAAAAAAAAAAAAAAAAAAAAAAAAAAAAAAAAAAAAAAAAAAAAAAAACAAAGUUCGUGCAUGUCUUCCUACCAUAGGGUCUAUGGACAAGUGCCCUGAUUUAGACUAUAAUAAAGGUUCCUACCCUAGAACUGUAGGGCACCUACAUUAUAAAGUUAGGACAUCUAUCCUUAAAAAUUAAAUUAUAAAAUUUUUACUCAUAAGCCCAG